rnacentral:rRNA from 1 species
AAUAUUCCGCAAUGGAGGAAACUCUGAGGCAGCGAUCCCGCGUGAGCGAUGAAGUUCUUCGGAUCGUAAAGCUCUGUGCUUGUGGAAGAAGGUCUUCGGACUUGUCGUGACCGAUGGAGGAAGCUCCGGCUAACUACGUUCCAGCAGCCGCGGUAAUACGUAGGGGGCAAGCGUUGUCCGGAAUUAUUGGGCGUAAAGGGUGCGUAGGCGGCCUUUUAAGUCAGAUGUGAAAGCCCACGGCUCAACCGUGGGAUUGCAUUUGAAACUGGAGGGCUUGAGUAUCGGAGAGGGUAGUGGAAUUCCCAGUGUAGCGGUGAAAUGCGUAGAUAUUGGGAGGAACACCAGUGGCGAAGGCGACUACCUGGACGAUUACUGACGCUGAUGCACGAAAGCUAGGGGAGCAAAC